UUUCCGUAGGUGAACCUGCGGAAGGAUCAUUAUUGAAUGAAACACUUCUGGCUUUAUGCUGUUGUGCUGGCCCUUUGGGCAAUGUGCACACGGCUCUGGUCACUUGUUUCUUCUGUUCCACCUGUGCACUGCCUGUGGACACGCUGUGUCUAUGAUAUUUGUUAACACACAACAAUGUUAGUUGGCAUGUUAUAUAUAAUAAUAAAAUAUACAACUUUCAACAACGGAUCUCUUGGCUCUC
rnacentral:misc_RNA from 1 species